UUCUGAAACCAAUCACAACAACGAACAUGGUUAAUUUCAAUCUCAUCAAUAAACAUUUUGUUGCAAUGAUAAGGGCCAAUGUAGUGAAAGCCGUGACCGAAAGGAGUGCCGCGGAUGACAUUGGACAGCAGUAUAAAGUCCUUUUCAAAGCACAUAUGGCUGAUGUUCUUUCCAUUUCUGGAUUCCCCUCUGAAACAAAUGCAGUAGCGAGUUAAAAUGAAUGACUCCAUCACAUGGAGGAAAAACUUCAAUGGAACAAGGCCAAAUAUAAAUAGUCAAAGGUAUGAAGAUUUUCCAUAUUGACCAUUUCAUCAAAGAGGUUCGGUGGUGCGACAAAUGUCAUGCAAUGGUGCACAGUUACCCAAUUCAGAGCAAAUAGGCCACAUAUUUAGCACCGCUUUCUAGUGGCUUAUAGAGUCUGAUAUGAAUAUUUCAAUGCGUUGAGAACGGCGAGUUGGUGAUUUAUGAAAGAGGGAUUAGAGCAACCAGUGCCGAAAUAGAUGGCUUUGAAUUUCAGGGUGAUGCGUUACAAAAUAAAAUGAUGAUAAUAAAACUGGUUCUCCGCUGAGUCGAUUUCAAACCCACUUGCCCUUCCCACAAGUUUACUUACCACACACUUGAGUGUUGUGAAUCCAUCCAUGUGUAGAGGAUUAGACUGGUGAAUUUGUACCCCCAUUCUUGAUUUAAUUCAAAGUCCUAGCAUUGCUAUAAACAAAUUGUACCACCCCUCCCCCAUUCCAUAGAUCGAUAUGCUGUAAGUGAAACGCUUGUUUGUUAUGUUUUUGUUAUAAGAGUUUUUUUUUUGUUUCUUCAUUUGGUAUAUUGUUGUAUUGAUCUCAUUUCAUUUGUCAUUUGUUUUUCUUUUUUUGUGUUUUUGUUUUUUUUUUUUGUUUUGCUUUGUUUCCAUUGAACUUACACUUCAUUGAGAUUAGACUAAGAACAAACUUAAACAAUUUAAUAUUCAAUUAUAUAUGGUACAAAUACAACUAAUCAUAAUGAUGAUAAUAAUAAUAGCAAUAUUACAAUAAAAUUAACAUAGAAAAAAAUUAAAAUUAUAUAAAACCUGAAAAUCUCAUGAAAAUAAAACUAGUACACACGGCUGGCUGGCUUGUUUGGCUCUAUCGCAGUUGAUAGGCACUGUGUUGUUACAAAUUUACAAUUUGAUGAUAAUGGGGAAAACAAAUUCGUUAUAAUGGAACAAACAUAGAAACAAUGCGAACAGAUGAGAAAAACCAGAGUUAAGAGCAAAUAAGGCAAAAUGUGAUCGAAUCGCGAAUUUGGAACAGCAACUUGCACUGGGCGAGUUGCAUGCCACGUUCGCUUUCAAAAUAGGAGGCUAAACUACUGGACAAAAUUAGCGAUACAAAAUACACAGAGUCUCUUGGUGACAGAAUUCGACUAAAUUUGAUGUUCGUCAUCCGCCUCCCUCUCGGAAGGUCUCCUCUUAUCGACUAAGUUUUUGUUUACUUGGAAUACAAACUAAAUGUUAGACUUACAUAAAUAUUUUGUUAAUAAUUUUAUAUCACAAUAGAAAAAAAGAAUUUUUAGAUUUUCUUUUUGGGAUUUAAAAUGUGUAUGAAUGUGUUUGCGUGUUCAUUCUUUACUCGCUAUUGGCUGGUCAUUACAAUUUUGGUUUGUUGUUGUACUUAGCGUGAAAUUCAAACUCGACUUUGUAAAGAAAGAAUUUUACUCGGUUAUCUGUUUUCAGUUUUGUUUUGCUUCAACAAUUUGAUCUCAAAAAUUCUCUUUUUUUGUUUUUGUCUUUGCUUACGAAUUCUUAUUUAUGUACAUGCAUGGAUGUUGCUGUUGUUGUUGUCGUUGUCACAUUGGCAAGUUUUCUUUCUAUUCGAAACAAGAAGUAGGUAAUACAUAAUUAAAAACAAAAAAAAAAACAAACAAUUUAAACAUUUGCGAGUAUCUCUCGCUUCGUUUACAUAUGGAAAAAGUUGACUAAAAAUGUUUAUGUGUGGGUGUGUGUGUACGUGUGCAUAAACAUAAACCUGCAGAGGAGGCUUUAGUUUUUGAGUGUGUGUGUGUGCGUGUGUGUAUUUUAAAAAUAUUUUAACAAAAAAACUGUUACAAGCAGAUACAAACAAAACGACAGUGUGUAACUUCUUCCAAGAAAAACAUCCCAACCGAAAAAGGUAAGAAGGCAAAUUAAAAGCAACAACACCAACAACGGCGGCUCCCUCUACAGCAAGGGCCCCAGAAGACAACAAAACAACGGGGAUCGAAUCUCCUGGUUUUGUUUUUUGAUUGGUUUCGAUGCACGCACAUGCGCAUGCGCAUUCAUCAACGACAGUUGCUGAGCCGCCAGAGAAAAUUGAGAAGCACAAAGAGACGAAGCAGAAAAGAAAAACUGGCUUUGGCCAUAGCCAUACGGGCAUGCAUGCAGGCACUGCAUGUGCAACAGACCGCCAAAAGCCCCACCACCAAGAGUCGAGUCUUUGGAUCGUAACCGAUGUCUGUCGGCUGUUGGUGAUGGGGUAUGUCUUGGGUAUUUUCGUUGAUAUUCGUGUUGUUGUUAUUGUCUUUCGCUAUAAGCCGUCUGUAGUUGUUGUCGUCGCCAUCAUCGCCUUGGUUGUUGGUGUUGUACCCUGCCUUAUCGAUUGUUAUAUGAAGCUUUAGCUAUUCCCCCCUCGUCGUCAUCCGUCCACCGAUGAAAUGCAUUAAAGUACAAAGCUCGUACACGAAACUACUUGCAAACCGACCGACAGACUGAUUCACAUGUACCUACAUGCCUGCGUACACGAGAGUGUGUAUGUGAAUGGAUUUGGUAAUGUGUGCUACAGAGACGUAGGUAUGGUGAAAUUAGAAAUGCUGUGGUGGACAAAUAAGAAGUUAAGGCAAAAACUUUUCAGCACUCUCCAUACUUUCCACGAACAAACCAAUGAGUGUAGUCCAGUUCAAGUUUAGAUAUUCAUUAGGCCUUUUGUAGAAGCAAAAGUCAACCAAUCAACUUAGGCUUCCAAUUUAAUAUUUAUUCAGCAUUGCUUUUGGCUUCAAAUACAAACAUCUCUCCUGAGAUGAGUUUGUCGAAUAGUUUACCCCCCUCAUGUUGUUGGUAUAAAUGAGAUAUGUUUUAGUAAGUUCGUAACUUGCGAUUAUUGGUUGAAGGGAAUGUGAAAUAGGCCAAAAAUGGCAUACGAAAAAUUGAGUGAGUCCUUCAAGUAAAACUUGAGCGAUCUCCGGUUUCCGGGAGAGGAACAUUUAGCCGCUUGGCGAGAGAGAUUUGAAAUUUCUCGCAAAUCUCUCUUCCUUUGAAUAAGAAUUAAAAGUCUGUCCCCUCCUGAAGCGAGAGCAAAAUGUUUUCAGACACCGUCCCUGUUUGGCCAAUGAAUUCACCGUCAGCGUGUAGCGUAUUUUUAAUGGGUACCAGUUCCAGCGCAAUACAGAGGGCUGGAAGAAAUACUCGCUUUGCUGCUUUGUUUUGCUUUGGAUUGGUUUCUGGUUGCUUUUUUAGUCAAAUACUGGUCUGGUUUAGUCGGUCUCUCAUUCCGUUCGUUCGUUUGUCCGUGUGGCGGCUAUGCACGUAUCGGAUGUAUGAGUAUGAGCAUGGGAGUGUGAGUUUGUACGUGGGGUAUUGUUGCGACUGUCUGCCUGUCCGCCUGACAAGCCUGCUUGCAUUUUGAUAACGUUCAUGUUCAUGUCACUGUUGUUGCUGUUGGUCGGUGUUGUUUUUUCGUUUCUUCUUUGUGGCGUUCUUCUACACUCGCAUAUUGUUUCCCCAUUGUAACUGUUUUCAGUUUUGCUUUGGCCAUAUCUUCUCGCGCACACAAUCACCCAUUCAUACAUACUACAUGUGUACCGAGCCAUAUGCAUGUGUGUAUGGCAUGGUAUGUAAGCGUGCAUGUUUGUUUGGUUGUUCGCUGCUUUCUGGCAGAAUGCUUGUGUGCGGCGGUGUGGUGUUCUUCACGUUGUCGUCGUCUUCGUUGUUGCUGUGUAUUUAGUUUUACUUUUUGUGAAAUACUACCGACGACUACGGACUACGACGUUUUUCUUCUGUUAUUCUGUGCUGUGGCAAACGAAAGCUAUGAAGUUUCUGUUUUAAUUUAAAAAUGCUUAUGUGUGUACGUAUGCAUAUGCGUUUGUAAGUGUGCAUGUUUUUGUCUUGUCUCAAUCCCCCACGACGCUCCCUAGCCUAAUCAACCGCUAUGCUUGACUCAAAAAAAAAAAA
rnacentral:sRNA from 1 species